rnacentral:snRNA from 1 species
AUCGCUUCUCGGCCUUUUAGCUAAGAUCAAGUGUAGUAUCUGUUCUUAUCAGUUUAAUAUCUGAUACGUCCCCUAUCUGGGGACCAUAUAUUAAAUGGAUUUUUGGGACAGGGAGAUGGAAGAAGAGUUUGCUCUGUCCACUCCACGCAUUGACCUGGUAUUGCAGUACCUCCAGGACCGGUGCACCUCUC